GGAGAGAUGGCAGAGCGGUUGAAUGCGGCGGUCUUGAAAACCGUUGGACGCGUGAGCGUCUCGAGGGUUCGAAUCCCUCUCUCUCCGCCA
rnacentral:tRNA from 1 species